UGUCAGGGAUAAUUUUUUGUUCAAGAUCAUUUUGGUCAAGAAAGUCAUCUACUGGAUCCCACAGUGUCUGCAUAGUAAUCAAUGAGGGGUAAGGAAAGUAACAUUUUGGGACUCCUGAGAUCACCUCUCAUAAUCCUCACCCCAUGAGAGGAUGUAGGUUGGUAAAGGUCAGAACCAGGAUUUGAAUCCAUAUCUGAAUGACUCCAAAGCCAGUGCUCUUUGUGUUAGAUCAUCUAGGAAUGGGGAAUGUUAUAAUUAUUUUCUUCAAUUUCAUAUUUGUUAUUCUUAAAGCUGUUAUUUUCUUCUCUAGAAAGCCUGGCAUCCAAGGUUUGCAAAGCCAAUUCAGGCCUGGCAAGAACCCACGAUAAACACAGAGGCAAAAGAUGGUGUUUUGAAACCAGGAACUAGCACCUCCUUGGAGGACAAUAAUUCUGAUAAUAAAAAUGAAGAUGUGGUUCCAACCUUUCCCCAACCAUCAACCGAAGUUCCAGGCUUUUCUCAUCCUGCCUUCCCAGCACCGGAACAUCUCACAUCUGCAGCAGUUCUUGCUGUUACAGAGGAAGAAGCAGCAAAGCCAAAAAUUGGGGGAAAAGAGAAUGGCGCUCAGACUAUUAACAGUGUUCUCAAGGAGCAAGCAGAUCAUAAAAAAUUGGUUUCUAUUGAUGGAGCACACAAAAAUGACAAAGGUGGGUAGUUAGCGUACAUCUGUGGAUUUUCUUCUCAGCUUAAAAGCUAGUAUGGUUGGAGGAGGGAGAGUAUAGCUCAGUGGUAGAGUGCAUGCUUAGCAUGCACGAGGUCCUGGGUUCAAUUCCUGGUACCUCCAUUAAAAAAAAAAUAAGUAAAAA